AAUCAACGCUGGCGGCGUGCCUAACACAUGCAAGUCGAGCGAGAAAAGGGGGGCAACUCCCUGAGUACAGCGGCGCACGGGUGAGUAACACGUGGGUAAUCUGCCCUGGAGUGGGGAAUAACACCGGGAAACCGGUGCUAAUACCGCAUACGAUCACGAGGUCUGCGGACUUUGUGAUGAAAGGAGCAAUUCGCUCUAGGAGGAGCCCGCGGCUGAUUAGCUAGUUGGUGAGGUAAUGGCUCACCAAGGCAACGAUCAGUAUCCGGUCUGAGAGGACGGUCGGACACACUGGAACUGAGACACGGUCCAGACUCCUACGGGAGGCAGCAGUGGGGAAUUUUUGGCAAUGGGGGCAACCCUGACCAAGCAACGCCGCGUGGGUGAUGAAGUCUCUUGGGACGUAAAACCCUUUCGACGGGGAAGAAACCGCAAGGUUGACGGUACCCGUAGAAGAAGCCCCGGCUAACUCCGUGCCAGCCGCCGCCGUAACAC
rnacentral:rRNA from 1 species